AUGAACGCUGACAGAAUGCUUAACACAUGCAAGUCUUUGGCGAAGCUGUGCUUGCACAGCCUAGCCAAGGCGGACGGGUGAGUAACGCGUAAGGAACUUGCCCUGCAGUCAGGGAUAACAGACGGAAACGACUGAUAAGACCUGGUAAAGUCAGGCGGACUCAUGUCCAGCCUGAUGAAAAGAGAUGCUGCAGGAGAGCCUUGCGUCCUAUUAGCUUGUUGGUGGGGUAACGGCCCACCAAGGCGAUGAUAGGUAGCCGGCCUGAGAGGGUGGACGGCCACAAGGGGACUGAGAUACGGCCCUUACUCCUACGGGAGGCAGCAGUGGGGAAUAGUGGACAAUUGGGGCAACCCUGAUCCAGCAAUUCUGUGUGCACGAUGAAGGUUUUCGGAUUGUAAAGUGCUUUCAGCAGGGAAGAAAAAAAUGACGGUACCUGCAGAAGAAGCGACGGCUAAAUACGUG
rnacentral:rRNA from 1 species